ensembl:ncRNA T06H11.18 ncRNA
AAAAUGAAUUUUCGACCACGGCAGGAUUCGAACCUACAAUCUUCUGCUCCGUAGGCAGACGCGUUAUCCAUUGCGCCACGCGGCCAUGUU